CUGCGGUAGGCUUAACACAUGCAAGUCGUGCGAGAAAGUAUCUUCGGAUAUGAGUAAAGCGGCGGACGGGUGAGUAACGCGUAGGAAUCUACCUAGUAGAAGGGGAUAGCCCGAGGAAACUCGGAUUAAUACCGUAUACCUCCUUCGGGAGAAAGAGGGCCUCUCUUUGAAGCUUUCGCUACUAGAUGAGCCUGCGUAAGAUUAGCUUGUUGGUGAGGUAAAGGCUCACCAAGGCUACGAUCUUUAGCGGGUCUGAGAGGACGAUCCGCCACAUUGGGACUGAGACACGGCCCAGACUCCUACGGGAGGCAGCAGUGGGGAAUAUUGGACAAUGGGCGCAAGCCUGAUCCAGCCAUACCGCGUGUGUGAAGAAGGCCCUAGGGUUGUAAAGCACUUUAAGUUGGGAAGAAAAGUUAUUGGCUAAUAUCCAAUAACCAUGACAUUACCAUCAGAAUAAGGACCGGCUAAUUCCGUGCCAGCAGCCGCGGUAAUACGGAAGGUCCAAGCGUUAAUCGGAACUACUGGGCGUAAAGCGCGCGUAGGUGGUUUAUUAAGUUGGAUGUGAAAUCCCCGGGCUCAACCUGGGAACUGCAUCCAAAACUAAUUCACUAGAGUACGAUAGAGGGAGGUAGAAUUCACAGUGUAGCGGUGGAAUGCGUAGAUAUUGUGAAGAAUACCAAUGGCGAAGGCAGCCUCCUGGAUCUGUACUGACACUGAGGUGCCGAAAGCGUGGGUA
rnacentral:rRNA from 1 species